rnacentral:misc_RNA from 1 species
GAUGAAGAACGCAGCGAAAUGCGAUACUUGGUGUGAAUUGCAGAAUCCCGUGAACCAUCGAGUCUUUGAACGCAAGUUGCGCCCGAAGCCAUUAGGCCGAGGGCACGCCUGCCUGGGCGUCACACGUCGUUGCCCCCCCAUCUACUCCUUCGGGAUUGCGGGGGGCGGAUGAUGGCCUCCCGUGCGCCUCGCCGCGCGGUUGGCAUAAAUGCCAAGUCCUCGGCGACGCACGCCACGACAAUCGGUGGUUGCGAAACCUCGGUUGCCCGUCGUGUGCGGUCGUCGCGCAUCGAGGGCUCGAAAAAAUUGCCGGGUUCCGGCUCGGCUUUCAACGCGACCCCAGGUCAGGCGGGGUUACCCGCUGAAUUUAAGCAUAUCAAUAAGCGGAAGGA